AAGUGAACAAUAUUCUCAUGGAAAUGUUGAUUUUUAUUUUACCGGGUCUGGGUAUGACAAUUACAGAUUGAACUUCUGAGGAAGAAAACUAUGUAUGUGCACCUAUCAAGUUAAGCAUCUUAUGGAGUAGCUGUAAUGCUAGACAUAUGCAUAGCAGGAGAGAUGCCCAGUUAUAACUGCAACUCUGUCAGAUGCCCUGCUGAAUCCAAG